rnacentral:misc_RNA from 1 species
AGCAGCCGCGGUAAUUCCAGCUCCAAUAGCGUAUAUUAAAGUUGUUGCAGUUAAAAAGCUCGUAGUUGAAUUUCGGGAUCAAAGAAUCGGUCAUGCCUUGGUAUGUACUGGUUUUAUUGGUUCUCACCUUCUAAAGAACCAUGAUGUCAUUCAUUUGAUGUUAUGGGGAAUUAGGACUGUUACCUUGAAAAAAUUAGAGUGUUUAAAGCAGGCUCACGCUUGAAUACAUUAGCAUGGAAUAAUGAAAUAGGACGUUUGAUUCUAUUUUGUUGGUUUCUAGGAUCGACGUAAUGAUUAAUAGGGAUAGUUGGGGGCAUUAGUAUUCAAUUGUCAGAGGUGAAAUUCUUGGAUUUAUUGAGGACUAACUACUGCGAAAGCAUUUGCCAAGGAUGUUUUCAUUAAUCAAGAACGAAAGUUAGGGGAUCGAAGACGAUCAGAUACCGUCGUAGUCUUGACCAUAAACUAUGCCGACUAGGGAUCGGAUGAUGUUAAUUUUUUAAUGACUCAUUCGGCGCCUUAC